AGGACGAACGCUGGCGGCGUGCUUAACACAUGCAAGUCGAGCGGAAAGGCCCUUCGGGGUACUCGAGCGGCGAACGGGUGAGUAACACGUGAGUAAUCUGCCCCUAGCUCUGGGAUAGCUCCGGGAAACCGGGAUUAAUACCGGAUAUGACCACUUUAGACAUCUGCUGUGGUGGAAAGAAUUUCGGCUAGGGAUGAGCUCGCGGCCUAUCAGCUUGUUGGUGGGGUAACGGCCUACCAAGGCGACGACGGGUAGCCGGCCUGAGAGGGCGACCGGCCACACUGGGACUGAGACACGGCCCAGACUCCUACGGGAGGCAGCAGUGGGGAAUAUUGCGCAAUGGGCGAAAGCCUGACGCAGCGACGCCGCGUGGGGGAUGAAGGCCUUCGGGUUGUAAACCCCUUUCAGCAGGGACGAAGCGAAAGUGACGGUACCUGCAGAAGAAGCGCCGGCUAACUACGUGCCAGCAGCCGC
rnacentral:rRNA from 1 species